rnacentral:rRNA from 1 species
UACGGGGGGGGCAAGGCGUUGUUCGGAAUUACUGGGCGUAAAGGCUCGUAGGCGGCCAACUAAGUCAGACGUGAAAUCCCUAGGCUCAAACCUAGGAACUGCGUCUGAUACUGGAUGGACUUGAAUCCGGGAGAGGGAUGCAGAAUUCCGAGGUGUAGCGGUGAAAUGCGUAGGAUAAUCUGGAGGAAUACCGGUGGCGAA